UACGAAGGGUGCAAACGUUGCUCGGAAUUAUUGGGCGUAAAGCGCACGUAGGCGGCUUAGCAAGUCGGAAGUGAAAUCCCACGGCUCAACCAUGGAAGUGCUUUCGAAACUGCUGAGCUUGAGUACGAAAGAGGAUCGCGGAAUUCCCGGUGUAGAGGUGAAAUUCGUAGAUAUCAGGAGGAACACCAAUGGCGAAGGCAGCUCGCUGGAACGGUACUGACGCUGAGGCGCGAAAGCGUGGGGAGCGAACAGG
rnacentral:rRNA from 1 species